CUCAAGGCUUUGAAGGGAAAAAGUAGGAACGAAACCUGCGCCCAGAGAGGGAAACCCGCGGGCUGGAAGGUUUCCCGCGCCAGGUGUUCCGAAACCCGUCCCGGAGCCGAAGGCGAUGAGCCUUGCCGGCAAUCCCUGCCGUUAACCGAGGGAGGGUAUAACCCCGUUUUCGAUUGGGGCGUACCUGUAAUGAGUGGGCCGUGCGGCCAAUAAAGGUGGUACCGCGGAAUAAAACCUUUCGCCCUUUGU
rnacentral:ncRNA from 1 species